CCGCCUCCUUGGACUCUUGGGGUCAGACGUCACCCAGGGAGGGACUAUUUAGCUGGCUGGAGUUCUCAACAGCCUCACUACAUGCAGCCUUUCACACACUAUUCUUCGAUCCCCAACAACUAUUAAGCAGGAAAGACAGCGGUGACCUUGGCUCCACAACUAGUGUUCCCAGACCGCCUCCAGGAUGUCAGCUAAAGCCAUAGAAAGCGGGGAAGGCGGUGCCUUGGAUGCCACCCGGCCAGAAUUGCUGUCGGAAGAGGAAGAAGAACCUUCCCAGUCAAGCAAUCAGGCCUCUGAUGGCUCUUCUCCUGGGAAGACACCACAGGGGCCACAUCAGGGGCCUCAUCAGGGACCAGAUGGCUCUGCCUCUGACCCCAGAGAUCCACCCAAGUCGAAAGGCAGCAAUUUCUACGAUUAUGCAGGCAAGACUGCCGCAGCCGUGAUCGGAGGAGCCCUGGCCGUGGGGUCUGUUCCCGCGGUGCUGGGCGCCAUGGGCUUCACCGGGGCUGGAAUCGCCGCCUCCUCCAUCGCGGCCAAGAUGAUGUCAGCGGCCGCCAUGGCCAAUGGAGGCGGAGUUGCCGCUUGAAGCGUGGUGGCCACUCUCCAGUCCGUGGGGGCAGCUGGACUUUCCACAUCAUCCAACAUCCUCCUGGGCUCUGCUGGGUCAGCAUAUGGGGUGAAGCUGUGGGGUGUAAUAAAGAAGCUCUCUUCUUCAGCGGGAUCCAGUACUGAAGAAGAGAGGGGUUCCCAUGCUGCAGAUGACUCUCCAGCGCCUCAGGAUGUCAGUCCCGCAAAUGACAAGCCCUCUUCUUCCCAAAAUUCUUCAAAGAAUCAUAAGAAAUAACAACAACAACAACAACAAAAAGAAAUAAAAACAAGAUGCUUUGACCUUU